rnacentral:rRNA from 1 species
CCCUUAGAUGUCCUGGGCCGCACGCGCGCUACACUGACGAUGGCAACGAGUUUUUCCUUCGCCGAAAGGUGUGGGUAAUCUUUUGAAACAUCGUCGUGCUGGGGAUAGAUCAUUGCAAUUUUUGAUCUUGAACGAGGAAUUCCUAGUAAGCGCGAGUCAUCAGCUCGCGUUGAUUACGUCCCUGCCCUUUGUACACACCGCCCGUCGCUACUACCGAUUGAAUGGUUUAGUGAGGACUCCUGAUUGGCGCCGCCGCCCCGGCAACGGAGCAGCGGACUGCCGAAAAGUUGUUCAAACUUGAUCAUUUAGAGGAAGUAAAAGUCGUAACA